UUGAGGUUAUAGUUCAAUACAUGCCCAAUAACAUAAACAAAAGGGAAUACGGAAAGCCGACUUCGUCAAGAAGUCAUCAUCCAAGUUCUUUGAUCUAGAGACGAAAGAGAAUGAGAUAGAUGAAAACAAAGCUGCGGGGGGUCUGAUAUCCGCUACGAUACCAAAGAUCUCUUUGUGAGCAAACUUGCUAUUGAUGGUGGUAAUGAGCGUCUUGUUGUCCAAGAAGACUGAGAGGCUUUCGAUCCCGAUGGCAAUUGCAUGUCUGAGACUUGAUCUGCAGGCAAGAGCUUCUGCGAUGAGAGGGGAGCCAACAUGUUCCUGAAACUCUGAGACACUACAGAUCGUUGCUGUCUGUAUGAAGAAGAUCCAGACCGAACCUGAUCGGAGGGUUUCUCCAUUAAUUCCAGGAGGCGUCUGUGAAACAUCGGGUAUCCUCCAGGUGCCUUGCUACUUGAGUGGGGGCUGGAAUAGCAUGAGUUGAAGUAGACUGAUCCAUAUUUUUAUUGUCUUGUGUGGCGAUCCAAUCCCGUGAGGCGGGGAUGUUCUAAGAGCCACUUCUUCCUUUGGGAAGGCUUUAUUUCCGAUGACAAGAUUGUUUCUCGAGAUUCAAAAUUUCCAGCAUACCCAAGGGAGGAUAUUAAUUGGAAUACCUGAGGGCGGGAGGCAUGGCAUACGGCGAGAUUCAGUCACUGCUGAUUCAAAGUCUUGUACUGUAGCUAGGUGAGCUGCAUUGGAUACAUGUAACUGAUGCAUUGAUUUCCCAUUCUCUGGAGGUUCUCUCCUAUAGGCAGAGCCUUUUGGAGGAUUGACCAUUGUAAAAAUUUAAGCUUUGGGGAGCACUUGGGGGUCCAGAUGUCUUUGUACCAGUCAAUCGUGCUAGUGAGGGGUCUGUGAAUCUAGAAGUCAUGGAUGAGUGGUAUAUCCAGAUUUGGUUGUGUAAAUACCGGAUUUUAAUGGUUGCCAGAUGAAGGCGUCCUCCACUCCCUCUUGACUUGGUUGCAAGCACUGGAUUGCGGUUGAAAGCUCAGGUAAUAGUUCUUCAAUUCUUCUUGUAUUCCAUUUCAGGUCAGAAGUUACUAAAUCAGAUACUCUGAGACUCAAAAUCUCGUCGAUCCUCUCUCAGAUACUUCAAUCCUGUCUUUUUUCCACAACUUGAUCUCGCUACUUUGUUUAAUGUAUGUAAAGCACAUUUUAUAUCUAUUAGUUGUUUGAAUCAAA